UUAAUCAUCUGUUGUAGACUACCAGCUAAUGAAAAUGUUAAGAUAUACUCUUCUGUUAACGAUAAUGUUUAGCUAACUUUUAAAGUCCUAACACUGAUGAAAAAUGAGUCAAGAAGAAUAACCCGAAUUUCUGAUGUAAAUAAGUAGAUUGAUCCUCUGGGUUCAAGGAAAUAUAAUUAUUUAAAUAUUUAUUAAUGUAAUGAUUUAGUUAAUGAUCAUAAUGCACUGUCCAAAAUGUUUGAUAUAACUUAAACUCUUUCUGAUCUUAAGAUUGGUCUCACUUGAUUUUUUUUUUUUUUUUACACUAGAUUUAAGAAUGGAAAGAAAACAAGCCGAAAGGUUGAACAUAAAAAUUAAAAAACAGAGAAUAACAGCCUUGAUUCGCAAUUAUACAAAUAAAGAUUUAUAGAAUUGAUUAUAGUGGUGGAGGAUUUAAAUAGGCACUGACGUAUGUGAUUUUUAUAAUUAAUCAACAACAUUCAGUAAAUGGAGUUAGCUAAGACAAAAUAGAAUAAAAUAAAAAAUUGACAAUCCAGUUGUGUGCAAGAAAAAUAACAAUUUAAUCAACGAUAGCAUUAUUUGUUUCAUCAUCCGAACUAGGCCUGGACAUUUUAACUUGGACACGAAAACCCGAACCGGAAUCGAUCCGAAAAUACCAGAC
rnacentral:lncRNA from 1 species